GGUUGCGAUCAUACCAGCACUAAUGCACCGGAUCCAUGAACUCCGCAGUUAGCGUGUUGCUUGGGCGAGAGUGUACUAGGUGGGUGACCCCCCUGGGAAGUCCUUGUGUUGCACCCC
rnacentral:rRNA from 1 species